rnacentral:pre_miRNA from 1 species
GAGAUACUCCCUCCGUUCGGAAUUACUUGUCGCGAAAAUGGAUGUAUCUAGAACUAAAAUACGUCUAGAUACAUCCAUUUCUGCGACAAGUAAUUCCGAACGGAGGGAGUAGCUC